AAAACAGAAUCCAGGAGUGUUAUUUUUGUUCUCUUCUAAUUAAAAUAAUUGCUUGGUUCCUUUUAACUAGAUUCAUGCAGUUAUUAGCCUAAUACAUGGAUGGGUGCCAUGGGGUGCUUGAGAAACAAAAUGAAAAGUGAUCAUGUAGCUUCACAUGAAAAAGAUUCUGUGGUGCCAAGGAGUAUUAUUCCUUUCAGCCGGCAUCUUAUAAGGGCCUUUAGUAAACCUUGUCCCCCACCCCCCAGACCCUUACUAAAAGACUAUUAAGUGAAAGAAUGCUUCUAUUUUCUCUAUUAGGUAGACAGUGAACUCGGUACAAUUUGAAGAGGGGCACUUGAUAUGCCGGGUAUGGCACAAAGACUGGGGGUCUGGUUUUAAUCUCUGCCCCUGCUUUGUCUUACAGAGUAGCUGCAAUUGAAGGAUAAAUGCUCCAUGCCAGUUGGUGUUUGUUCAGAGGACACUGGAAGAAGAGGGACAAAGGUGGCCUGGAUGUUGAUCCGUGAGCCUAAGUCUAUGGUUCUCUGAAGCAAAGGUGCCAGUGAAGUUGCUUCAUAAAAAAACAAAACAAAACAAACCUUCCAGAAUCUUCCAUUGGAGAAUUGUCACCUGCAAAGACCUCUGAGAGGUGUCACGGACCAGAACAUCACCCUUAAAAUAAAAGCGCAUCUGUGCCGGGAAGCCAGAGGAGAUCAGCGUUUCUUUAUUUGGAUCAGUGUUGAGAGCGAAAGAGCAGACUUGAAGACGGGCGGCGGAAGCGAUCUACCCCCCAACUGUUUUGAGGGACCCCUCGGAAUCUGCCGUGAUGUGGCUCCCCACCCUCCCUGUGUCGUUUUUACCACCCUUCCUCCUACAGACACAGUUGCCUGGCUUUCUGCAGCCCUGAGACUGUCAAAUACGACCUGAGAGCAAGGUUCCGGUCCUGGCGGCUCCUUUAGAAGACGUGUGACCUUUCUGGGUUUCGAUUUCAUCACCUGCAGAAAGAGGGGGUCUGACUAGGAGAACUCUAGCAUCCCUUGGGGAUAUAACAGCUGAAGAGCUAUUUUCUCCGGUACCAACGCCGAAGGAAGCCAAGGGAAGGGAGCCCAUGCUGCCUUUCUUUGGAGUCCUUGGUCUGGGCUCUCAUGCAUGGACAUGGCCAUCAGGUGGCCUGGAAUCACAUUUACAAUGGAGACUCUGGUUCAGUAAUUCCGAGGUGGGGGCUGAGACAUUUGCUUUUCUGACAGCUGUCGGAUGAGGUAGCAACUUGGGACAGUGAGGCCUCGGGCAGUAGGCUAAGUGGAGCGCCGGGGUUGGUGUGGUUUCCUCAGCGCUGGGGUGUCCACACAGCCCGAGUGCAUUGUUGUUCGGUGU
rnacentral:lncRNA from 1 species